rnacentral:lncRNA from 1 species
ACAUCGUAUCAUCGUGAGGCUAUUCUUGAACCCCUUCACGAACUAAACAUGGUGGGAAUGACUUAACUAAGUGCAAUGGAGCCAACAUCAUAUCAUUGUGAGGUGACAUUCUCUAGAGGCCAAAUAAGAUAGGUACUUGCAAGAGAUGCAAAUGAGUAAGCGUACUCUCUCAUUAUUAUUAAUGCUAGCCAACAUCAUAU